rnacentral:snRNA from 1 species
UUGCUUUGGCAGCACAUAUACUAAAAACUGGAAUGAAACAGAGAAGAUUAGCACGGCUUCUGCACAGGGAUGACACGGAAAUUCGUGAAGCGUUCCAUGUUUUA